GCUUAUGGCCAUACCACCCUGGCAAUGCCAAAUCUCAUCUGAACUCGGAAGUAAAGCAGGGUCGGGCCUGGUUAGUACUUGUAUGGUAGACCGCCUGGCAAUACCAGGUGCUGUAAGCU
rnacentral:rRNA from 1 species